rfam:Phytophthora megakarya strain zdho120 scaffold_888, whole genome shotgun sequence.
GGACACGUAGCUCAAAUGGCAAGAGCACAGCCUUUUACGCGGAUGGACGCGGGUUCGAUUCCCGCCGUGUCCA